rnacentral:rRNA from 1 species
UUAUGCUGCCCAAGGCCAUGGGGGGGCAUGGGAUUCCGUGACAUGAGGGCUUUUAAUCAGGCUCUGCUGGCCAAGCAAGCCUGGCGCCUACUGGAUAGCCCAGCUAGCUUAUGUGCAAGGUUAUUGAAGGCUAAAUAUUAUCCGAGGGGAAAUUUGCUUGACACUGUGUUUUCAUCAAACUCUUCGGCGGUGUGGAAAGGUAUUGUUCAUGGGCUUGAGCUGGUGAAGAAAGGCAUUAUAUAGCGAGUUGGCAAUGGUACAAUGAUAAAUACUUGGAGGGAUGCUUGGAUCCCUCGUGGACACAACCUUAGACCGAUCACUCCUAGGAGGAAUUGUCGUUACAAUUGGGUGGUUGAUUUUUUGAACGAGCAUGAUGCAUGGAAUGAGGAACGGCUUCGGGAGCAUUUUUCGGACAUGGAUGUUAGGGAGAUAUUGAAGAUCCGCACAUCUCCAAGGAAUGGGCAGGACUUUGUUGCUUGGUUUCCGGAGCGGUCUGGACAGUUCACUAUUCGUAGCGCAUAUCACCUAGCUACGGAUGUCUAG